AGAAGAUGUCAGAUGCUCUUUAGAGGGCUAUGCAGCUGGAAAUGCCAUCCCAAGCCCAUUAAAGAAUGUGGAGAAAGAAUUUUUGAGAAAGUAUUGGUCAAAAUGGAAGGCUAACCACACUGGCCGCUGUCGUGCGAUGCCGCAUAUAAAGACAUUCACUCGUUAUAAUGGUCAGAAACUUGCUUGGUUCUUGCUAACUUCAGCAAAUCUAAGCAAAGCAGCCUGGGGGGCCUUGCAGAAGAAUAAUUCUCAGUUGAUGAUUCGUUCCUAUGAGCUGGGGGUGCUAUUUUUACCAUCUCACUGUAAAAGACAUGGUCUUCGAUUUUCUUGCACAGACAAUGGAGUUCCAUCAGAGAAUAAAUGUGGAUUACUAGCAGAUUCUGAAGAGCUGAGGACGAAACUAGUGACUUUGAUGUGGCAAGGAACUGUAGAUUCAUCAUCUGAAGUGAUUCCACUGCCGGUGCCUUAUGAGCUACCUCCUCAACCAUACUCCUCUGAAGGUGUUUAUUUUUCGCCAUUGUUGCCGUGUUCUUCACUUCUGAUAUUGGUAUGACUCUUCUUAAUCCCAUCUGCAGAUGUUCCUUGGUCCUGGGACCAGCGAUAUAGCAAGAAGGAUGUUUAUGGUCAAAGUUGGCCUAGGCUUGUACAGCUUUAUACUUCUCAGGAUUCAUGACUCAUGGUUUUGGUUUGGAACGUGUUCCUAGGGAAUAUAUUUCCUUUUAAAUUUAUUAUGAGUUUUUUUUUUUGUUAAUUUAUUUCAUUGUGCUACUAAACCUAUUUAAUUUAUUUAUUAUGUCAUGGGUUUACAAAAGAGGAAAAAUGUAUCGA
rnacentral:misc_RNA from 1 species